GCUCCAAUAGCGUAUAUUAAAGUUGUUGCAGUUAAAAAAGCUCGUAGUUGGAUUUCUGGUGACGACGUUUGUCCGGGUCAAUGACUCUGCGACGUAACGUUAUUGCCAUCCUUGGGGAAAACUAGUCUGGCAUUAGGUUGUCGGGUUAGGGAUCCUCAUCGUUUACUGUGAAAAAAUUAGAGUGUUCAAAGCAGCUUACG
rnacentral:rRNA from 1 species